ACCUAAUAAUGCAACAGGCCACCUCUCACAUAUCCCGAGUGAGGAUUUUUUUUUUCUGACAUAGGUGGAUUUUCUGUGUUUUUUUCCAAAUCGCUCAAACGUACCAGUGUUUUGAAGGAAGUAGUGGCUCAUAGACUACCAAGCACCAGCACUGUCAGGUGGAACUUCCAUAGCCGUGCCAUUAACACAGUGUUUGAACACCGGGAGGCGCUAAUCCUGUGUUUUGAAAGAAUAAGGGACUGUGGUAACUUCAACCCCAAUACAAUGAGAGAAGCUGGAGCCUUAGCUAUGCUAUUGGAGAAUUCGGAUUUCAAGUUCUUUCUGGAACUUUUCCACCAAAUAAUGCGUCAUGUUGACAUUCUAUAUGCCAAGCUCCAGAAAAAAAAUGUCGACUCUGUUCACAUUAAACGCAGCAUGGAGCAGUUCCAGAGCGAGAUACAAAGAAUCAGAAAUGCUGUUCAUUCCUUGACUGAGAGCAGUGGAUCUCAACCAGGAAAGAGGAGACGGAAGCUAAAUCCAGAUGAGCGUAGUAGGAUUGCAGCAGAGGUCUGCGACACAAUUCUGAGAGGUUCUCCUUCA